AAGGCAUGAGUAAGACAUUUGUGAAUCAAGUCCUUGAACCUGUUCCAAGCUUCAUGGAAUGGCUCAUCCGUAUAUUGGCUGAAUAAAGUUAUGUUAUCUCUCAACUC